rnacentral:lncRNA from 1 species
CCCAUGUUUUAAUUUUUCACGUGGCCCUUUCUGUGUUGCAAUAGAUUUUAGCUGCCUGCAAAUCCCAAUGCUGAUGGGCAGCAUCCACGUGUUUUCCAUGAAGCAUCAUUGAUUUUUUUGUGCCUGGUUGAAAUCUCCAGUGAAAGACAGAAACUGGGAAAUUACUCUGCCUGCACGCAGUGGUAGUUUACUGCAAAGGAACAACAACAAAGUGGAGAUAAAUAAGUAGAUUACACUUCUCACAGUGAAUAUGCUCGUUUUGGUGUGAUUUUAGAAAACUAUGUUGUAGUACAGGGUAUGGUGUACAUUUUCUCAAAGCAAUGUUGAGCUGCUGGAGAAGUGAUUUUCUAGCAAAGCUGCAAUUUACUUUAGUAGUAGUUCACCACUAGAAAGGGAAAAAUAAAAAAAGAAGAAAACCCCCUGAGAUUUCUUAAAGAGAGUAUUUAGAAUGAAAUCUCUGCUAUAACAAUCAUUGCACUUCAUCAGAGGCUUGGAAAUUGUGCCUUGCAAUAGAAAGGGUUACUUGAGGUUCUGCUUCACUGAGGUUUGAAGCAGGUUUUUUUUUCUUUUUGGUUCUAGUGUGGGAGAAUUCUGGAGAUCCUUUCUAAAUUUUGGCCUUCAGCCAAGUGUGCUUCCAAACUGAAACAAAGAUUUAGUAGCUCAAAUUUGUGAAGUCGACUCCAUACUUUUUCUCCUUGGGAUUUGUUUACACCACAGUGGAUGUUCUUAAUUUGUACUUGGUGCUCGUGUAAUAAGACCUGUAAAUCUUCCCUAUAACUCUGUGCAUUAGAAAUGGUCUGUUGACUGUGACAUAUUACUGAGGGACAAUAUGCCAAUUAAUUAUAAACUCCCAUAAAACUGCAGGAAAAAUGAGGUCUUGCUUGGGAGAAUGGCUGGUAAGAGAUCAACUUGAAGGUGUGUGGGCAUGGAGCUGCUUUCCAGUAGUAGAAAAGGCAGAGAACAAAUGGUCCUGGAUGAUGUGGAGAGAGUUUUCCUUGUGUUGCUGCAGGAGUGGUUAUCCACAAGAAUGAAACCAUUACUAUGGAAAAGCUUCUGGAUCUGUUUGUGGGGGAAAACCAGGUGUUCAGUUUGAGAAGAGAAUGACUGAGAGAUGAAUGGGAUUGAAUCAGGAAUUUUGUUGGUAUCUGUUUGAAGAAUUG